GGUGAGAUGGCCGAGCGGUCUAAGGCGCCAGACUAAGGAUCAGCUUCUUCUGAAGCUCCACUUGCAUAGUUCACUAUGUAAUCUGGUCCUCCGGGGCGUGGGUUCGAAUCCCACUCUCAUCA